GAUGAACGCUGGCGGCGUGCCUAAUACAUGCAAGUCGAGCGAACAGAUGAGGAGCUUGCUCCUCUGACGUUAGCGGCGGACGGGUGAGUAACACGUGGAUAACCUACCUAUAAGACUGGGAUAACUUCGGGAAACCGGAGCUAAUACCGGAUAAUAUAUUGAACCGCAUGGUUCAAUAGUGAAAGACGGUUUUGCUGUCACUUAUAGAUGGAUCCGCGCCGCAUUAGCUAGUUGGUAAGGUAACGGCUUACCAAGGCAACGAUGCGUAGCCGACCUGAGAGGGUGAUCGGCCACACUGGAACUGAGACACGGUCCAGACUCCUACGGGAGGCAGCAGUAGGGAAUCUUCCGCAAUGGGCGAAAGCCUGACGGAGCAACGCCGCGUGAGUGAUGAAGGUCCUCGGAUCGUAAAACUCUGUUAUUAGGGAAGAACAAAUGUGUAAGUAACUAUGCACGUCUUGACGGUACCUAAUCAGAAAGCCACGGCUAACUACAUG
rnacentral:rRNA from 1 species